rnacentral:rRNA from 1 species
CCUACGGGAGGCAGCAGUGGGGAAUAUUGCACAAUGGGCGCAAGCCUGUUGCAGCCAUGCCGCGUGUAUGAAGAAGGCCUUCGGGUUGUAAAGUACUUUCAGCGGGGAGGAAGGGAGUAAAGUUAAUACCUUUGCUCAUUGACGUUACCCGCAGAAGAAGCACCGGCUAACUCCGUGCCAGCAGCCGCGGUAA